rnacentral:rRNA from 1 species
UACGUAGGGGGCAAGCGUUGUCCGGAUUUAUUGGGCGUAAAGAGCGUGUAGGCGGCUUUGCAAGUCCGUUGUGAAAAACUCGAGGCUCAACCUCGAGACGCCGAUGGAAACCAUCUGACUAGAGUCCGGAAGAGGAGAGUGGAAUUCCUGGUGUAGCGGUGAAAUGCGCAGAUAUCAGGAAGAACACCCGUGGCUAAGGCGGCUCUCUAGACGGUACUGACGCUGAGACGCGAAAGCGUGGGGAGCGAACAGG